GCCAUUUCCUCCCCUGGAGGCGGAAAGUUUGCUCCCGGGAGCCGCGAAGGCGCGGCGCGCAGGUGCCCAGAGACCCCACCCUACCCAUGGUGAGGCAGUGGAAUCUCCGCGGGUCCCCUACGUUGUAGGUGGUGGCGGCGCAGACAGGUGAGGGUUGAGAAAUCAGGGAGAAAUCCUACCCUGCUUAUCCUGGAGCCUGAAGAGAAUGACUUAACCUGAGCCUCCUUCAGCAGUUGGUGGUUGGAAAGCGUGUAUGGAGUGCCUCCUCUCUGCUGGGCUCUGGGCGUAAGGGGAAUUCCGUUGCACAAGGCAGGUUUCCUCACUCACCCUCUGGAUCGUCUUUCUAUUUACCCAACGAAUAUUGAUGGAGUGCCUGCAGUAUAUACCGGGCUCUGCGCUGGGAAAACCCGAAGAACCGGACAGCUUAGGUGCCACUCAUCAUGGAGCGUCCGCGGGACUUUCUGUUCGUGCGUAACUGCUUUGCAGAACGCUGGUGGUACGAACACACACUUUGGUCUCUACCCUCAAGCAGAGGGCGGGUAAUGGAGGGCUUAGAAGACAGUAUAAUGACAAUGAGACAGUAUAUUGAAAACGAUGCAUUCCAUCUCCAUCCAAGCCUCAAUCCUCCCACUGUGCUCUUGAGCUUGGGCUUGAGGUGAGGCGGUCCUAGAUGUGCAUCCUGUUCCUUUGACAAUGGAAAUUAUGAUGGCACUCUUCUUACGGGGUUGAGUUGUCAUGACAACCCUUGGCACAAUGCCUGGCACAGGGUUAGCACUCAGUAUAUACAAGCUAUAAUGAUGCUGAUGAUGUUCCGCUGGCCUGAUGGAAUGUUGUGGACAAGGGGAGAUGUGCUGUAGGCUACACAGUUUGAGAGAUUUUCUAUGGGCUUAAAUUAAUUUGUGUAUAUUUAUAUUCUUCUGUUGCGUCAGGUUGUGAAUAUCAGAUGCUUGGUCUUUAUUCUUCUCUACUAACUUCCUAACUUCCUGGACCAAUGUACUGCCGUUGUUAAGGGAAAAUGAAAAAGUAUUGGCAGAAGACAGCAAGAACCCACAGGAGCCCGGUGUCCUUUCAGGCAGCCUUAGAAGCAUUUUUGUCCACCCAUGUGCCAUUAAAGCGAAAGGGAAUAUUUUCACAGUGACACACAAUGCUUGCUGUAAUUUAACCUCGUGAGCAAAACUUCCAAUUAAGUAUGACAGUAGGAAAUAGGUGUCCUGAUUAGCCAUGUACCUCCCUGGAACGAGGUAUUGUAUAAACAGUUGCAGGACAUGUUGUUAAAAAAAUUUUUUUUACAUUUAUUUAUUUUUGAGAGACAGAGAGAGACAGUGUGAACAGGGGAGGGGCAGAGAGAGAGGGAGACACAGAAUCUGAAGCAGGUUCCAGGCUCUGAGCUGUCAGCACAGAGCCCAUGCGGGGCUUGAACCCAUGAACC